AGUCAGAGAAAAAAGCUAUUAAAGACAGCUAAAUCAUAUCAACCUUAGAGGAGAUUCUUGCUCGGAAACCAAGAAGUGAGACCUGUUUGUAUGGUAGUUCAGCCAUCAGGAGGGUGAGGUCAUGUAUCCACACAAAACCCUCCCUGUCCCACACAGCCACCUCGCUGGGGAAGCUGUAUGGACACUGCUCCCCUGCCCUCUGGCCAGGGAGCUUGGGACAGCCUCCCAGGCAUCAGCAGACCUUUCAGAAUUCAGCAAAUACCUGAUCCUGCUCAGGGCAGUCUGCAGCUCCUCCUGAGGGGCAGCACAGGGACAGCUCCGAGCUCUGCUCCCUGGGACAGGGACGGCACCCAGGGAAUGGCUAGAGCUGGGUCAGCAGGCUCAGGCUGGAUUUUGGGAGCAGCUUCUUCCCCCAGAUGGUGCUGGGGCACUGAACAGGCUCCCCAAGGCUGCCAGAGCUCCAGGAGCAGCAUUUAGACACCACUCCCAGGGAUGGACGGGGGGGGGAUUGUUGGGGUGUCUGUGCAGAGCUGGGAGCUGGACUCAUGAUCCUCGUGGAUCCCUUCCAAAGGAGGAUAUUCCAUGAUCCUAAGAUAACUCCCCCCUCCAAAAAAUAACAUUACCCCUUGUUCCCUCUCCUACCUUGUGCCCAGAGCAGAAUCCCUGUCAAAACAUCCUCACACCUCAGCACAUGCUGAGCCCCCCUCAGCUGAACUGAGCACUGCCCAGUGAAACCCUGCAGGGCACAGCCAAAUGCUCUCCUGGGCACUGAAGAGCCCAGGCCCUGGCAGGAGGCUCAGCCCAGCCCAGCUGCACACCCCGAGUGCCAUCGAGUGGCAUCAGAGCUCAGUGCACAUGGGGAAUUGGGAAAUUGGGAAUUGGAAAAUGGCCCUUGGCACCCACUACUCCACUGCUGAGCUUGGGGCUACUCCCAAGAGGCCAAGACAGGUCCAAGGCCCCUCCCUGAGCUGCUCCAUGACCCAGCUCCAGGCUCUUCCUCCAGCCCUGCACAAGUGGCACCUCCCAGGAUGGAGAGAUCCACGCUCACCCCCCAGCAGAUCAAGCAAAUUCCUCUUUGGUGCCUUUUGCAGGAACUCACCCAGCUAAAAACUGAAUUUGCCUCCUUUCUGCUCACAGUGUCCUUGAGCACUCAGCCGAGUGAUUUUUUUUUAAAGGGAAUUAUUUGCAUCUAAGAUGUGAAUUGCAAAAAAUUGGCAGGUUUAAUCACAACAAGAACAAUAAUAUAAUUUACGGCCUUGUGACUCUCGAGCUGAUGCACUCUCUUCAAGCCCCAAGUGCUUCCCUCUUUACCAGACAAGAGCCAGCCCUGAUUUGCAGCGUUUGGAGUGACACCACCUUCCCCAGUCAUAGGUUGUCUGGUAAACACCAAAAUAGCAACAGCAUGUAAUCACCUAGUGAAAGAUUGCAUCAAAAUGCAAAUACACAGGAACACACUGGUGCUGCUGAAUUUAUUUUUUUGUUUGGUUGCUUGGUUUGGUGUUUCUCCCUGCUUUGUUUCAGUGCUUUCCUGCCAGCAGCCCUGCUACACAGAUACCUCAAAGGAUGGGGAUGGCAGUUUGUAAAUCCUGGAAUUUUCUGGCUAAAGCAGAGCUCUUUCCUAAAGGUCUGACUGCCCACUCAGUCAGGGACAUCAGGAACAGAGGGAAUCCCAACCAGUCUGACCUUUGGAGCAAAAGCAAGCACUGGAAUCCAGCCCUGUGGCUGCAGCUCCUCCAGAAAGGCCCCUGGUUUUGAUCUGAAGACACCAAAAGGUUACUGAGGUGCAGCCCCUUUCAGCAGUGUCAUAGGAGGGGUGACAUUGCCUCCGUGCUCAGUUUGCCUGGAUCAGAAGUGCUGCAGCUCCCAGUUUACCCAGGGCAUCCCACCCAGCCCUCAGCUGAGUUGCUGCCUCCCCAGCUCCUUCUCCACUCUUUGCAGGGUGCAGCCCUGCUUCUGCCAGGGGAUGAUCAGCCCUCUCAGCUACACUGGGACAGCCACAUGUUCAGCACUUUGUGACCAGUUUUAAUCAGAAUUAUCUGACAGAGCAUCUCCAGCCCAAGCUAAGCCGCCUUGCUCAGAGCAGGACUGUGCUGGCAGUGGUUACAGGGGCAUUUACUCCUGCCACUGUAACAGGACAAUGACCUCCACAAAGAGGACAGAUAGCCUGAGGCCAAGCAUUUUCAGCCUGGAUCACCACAA